GAUGAACGCUGGCGGCGUGCCUAAUACAUGCAAGUCGAGCGAACAGACGAGGAGCUUGCUCCUCUGACGUUAGCGGCGGACGGGUGAGUAACACGUGGAUAACCUACCUAUAAGACUGGGAUAACUUCGGGAAACCGGAGCUAAUACCGGAUAAUAUAUUGAACCGCAUGGUUCAAUAGUGAAAGACGGUUUUGCUGUCACUUAUAGAUGGAUCCGCGCCGCAUUAGCUAGUUGGUAAGGUAACGGCUUACCAAGGCAACGAUGCGUAGCCGACCUGAGAGGGUGAUCGGCCACACGGGAACUGAGACACGGUCCAGACUCCUACGGGAGGCAGCAGUAGGGAAUCUUCCGCAAUGGGCGAAAGCCUGACGGAGCAACGCCGCGUGAGUGAUGAAGGGCUUCGGAUCGUAAAACUCUGUUAUUAGGGAAGAACAAAUGUGUAAGUAACUAUGCACGUCUUGACGGUACCUAAUCAGAAAGCCACGGCUAACUACGUG
rnacentral:rRNA from 1 species